rnacentral:rRNA from 1 species
UACGUAGGAUGCAAUAGUUGUCCGGAUUUAUUGGGUUUAAAGGGUGCGUAGGCGGCCUAUUAAGUUAGUGGUGAAAACGUUCGGCUUAACCGGAUAAUCGCCAUUGAUACUGAUAGACUUGAGUGCGACAGAGGGUGUUGGAAUGUGUGGUGUAGCGGUGAAAUGCUUAGAUAUCACGCAGAACACCAAUUGCGAAGGCAGAUGCCUAUGUCGUAACUGACGCUGAGGCACGAAAGCGUGGGGAGCAAACAGG